AUGUUACGAUGGUUAGCUGGUCUGAGAGGAUGAUCAGCCACACUGGAACUGACACACGGUCCAGACUCCUACGGGAGGCAGCAGUGAGGAAUUUUGCGCAAUGGGGGAAACCCUGACGCAGCAACGCCGCGUGAGUGAUGAAGGCUUUCGGGUCGUAAAGCUCUGUCAAGUGGGAAGAAACUGUCCGAUGUAAAUAUCAUCGGGUACUGACGGUACCACUGAAGGAAGCACCGGCUAACUCCGUGCCAGCAGCCGCGGUAAUACGGGGGGUGCAAGCGUUAUUCGGAAUCAUUGGGCGUAAAGGGCGCGUAGGCGGCCUCUUAAGUCAGAUGUGAAAGCCCGGGGCUUAACCCCGGAAGUGCAUUUGAAACUGAGAAGCUUGAGUAUGGGAGAGGGAAGUGGAAUUCCUGGUGUAGAGGUGAAAUUCGUAGAUAUCAGGAGGAACACCGGUGGCGAAGGCGACUUCCUGGACCAAUACUGACGCUGAGGCGCGAAGGCGUGGGUAGCAAACAGGAUUAGAUACCCUGGUAGUCCACGCAGUAAACGUUGAACACUAGGUGUAGCGGGUAUUGACCCCUGCUGUGCCGCAGUUAACGCAUUAAGUGUUCCGCCUGGGAAGUACGGCCGCAAGGUUAAAACUCAAAGGAAUUGACGGGGGCCCGCACAAGCGGUGGAGCAUGUGGUUUAAUUCGACGCAACGCGAAGAACCUUACCUGGGUUUGACAUCCCGAGAAGUCUCUUGAAAGAGAGAUGUGCCCUUCGGGGAGCUCGGAGACAGGUGCUGCAUGGCUGUCGUCAGCUCGUGUCGUGAGAUGUUGGGUUAAGUCCCGCAACGAGCGCAACCCUUAUCUUUAGUUACCAGCAUUCAGUUGGGGACUCUAAAGAUACUGCCCCGGUUAACUGGGAGGAAGGUGGGGAUGACGUCAAGUCCUCAUGGCCCUUAUACCCAGGGCUACACACGUGCUACAAUGGGCUGUACAAAGGGUCGCGAGCCCGCGAGGGUUAGCUAAUCCCAUAAAGCAGCUCUAAGUUCGGAUUGGAGUCUGCAACUCGACUCCAUGAAGCUGGAAUCGCUAGUAAUCGUGGAUCAGCACGCCACGGUAAAUACGUUCCCGGGCCUUGUACACCCCGCCCGUCACACCAUGAGAGUUGGUUGUACCAGAAGUUGUUGGACCAACCCGCAAGGGAGGUAAGCACCUAAGGUAUGGCUGAUGAUUGGGGUGAAGUCGUAACAAGGUA
rnacentral:rRNA from 1 species